AGCGAACGCUGGCGGCAGGCCUAACACAAUCAAGUCGAACGAAGUCUUCGGACUUAGUGGCGGACGGGUGAGUAACACGUGGGAACGUGCCUUUAGGUUCGGAAUAUCUCAGGGAAACUUGUGCUAAUACCGAAUGUGCCCUUCGGGGGCAAGAGUUAUCGACUUUCGCUCGUCUAGAGUGGGCCGGGUCCGAUUAGCUAGUUGGUGCGGUAAAGGCUGACCAAGGCUACGAUCAGUAGCUGGUCUGAGAGGGUGACCAGACACAGUGGGACUGAGCCACGGCCCAGAGUCCUACGGUAGGCAGCAGUGGGGAAUCUUGCGCAAUGGCCGAGAGACUGACGCAGCCAUGCCGCGUGGAUGAUGAAGGUCAUAGGAUUGUAAAAUCCUUUCACCGGUGAAGAUAAUGACUGUAGCCGGAGAAGAAGCCCAGGCUAACUUCGUGCCAGCCGCCGCAGUAACAC
rnacentral:rRNA from 1 species